GUGAGGAAUCUUGCGCAAUGGGGGAAACCCUGACGCAGCAACGCCGCGUGAGUGAUGAAGGCCUUCGGGUCGUAAAGCUCUGUCAGAUGGGAAGAAAGUUUCGGCGGUGAACAAUCGCCGGGAUUGACGGUACCGUCAGAGGAAGCACCGGCUAACUCCGUGCCAGCAGCCGCGGUAAUACGGAGGGUGCAAGCGUUGUUCGGAAUCAUUGGGCGUAAAGAGCGUGUAGGCGGUCGGGUAAGUCAGAUGUGAAAUCCCUUGGCUUAACCAAGGAAGUGCAUUUGAAACUGCCCGGCUUGAGUACGGGAGGGGGAAGUGGAAUUCCCGGUGUAGAGGUGAAAUUCGUAGAUAUCGGGAGGAACACCGGUGGCGAAGGCGGCUUCCUGGACCGAUACUGACGCUGAGACGCGAAAGCGUGGGGAGCAAACAGGAUUAGAUACCCUAGUAGUCC
rnacentral:rRNA from 1 species